AUACUCUGGUUUCUCUUCAAAUCAUAUAAAUCUUUAGUCUUUUACUAAGAUUUCCAUGGAGAGGAACAAUUCUGAGUCUUUUUAUUUUAUUUUUUUUGAGAUGGAGUUUCGCUC
ensembl:snRNA U5 U5 spliceosomal RNA